rnacentral:rRNA from 1 species
UUGAUCCUGGCUCAGAACGAACGCUGGCGGCGUGGAUAAGACAUGCAAGUCGAACGAGAGAAUUGCUAGCUUGCUAAUAAUUCUCUAGUGGCGCACGGGUGAGUAACACGUGAGUAACCUGCCCCCGAGAGCGGGAUAGCCCUGGGAAACUGGGAUUAAUACCGCAUAGUAUCGAAAGAUUAAAGCAGCAAUGCGCUUGGGGAUGGGCUCGCGGCCUAUUAGUUAGUUGGUGAGGUAACGGCUCACCAAGGCGAUGACGGGUAGCCGGUCUGAGAGGAUGUCCGGCCACACUGGAACUGAGACACGGUCCAGACACCUACGGGUGGCAGCAGUCGAGAAUCAUUCACAAUGGGGGAAACCCUGAUGGUGCGACGCCGCGUGGGGGAAUGAAGGUCUUCGGAUUGUAAACCCCUGUCAUGUGGGAGCAAAUUAAAAAGAUAGUACCACAAGAGGAAGAGACGGCUAACUCUGUGCCAGCAGCCGCGGUAAUACAGAGGUCUCAAGCGUUGUUCGGAAUCACUGGGCGUAAAGCGUGCGUAGGCUGUUUCGUAAGUCGUGUGUGAAAGGCGCGGGCUCAACCCGCGGACGGCACAUGAUACUGCGAGACUAGAGUAAUGGAGGGGGAACCGGAAUUCUCGGUGUAGCAGUGAAAUGCGUAGAUAUCGAGAGGAACACUCGUGGCGAAGGCGGGUUCCUGGACAUUAACUGACGCUGAGGCACGAAGGCCAGGGGAGCGAAAGGGAUUAGAUACCCCUGUAGUCCUGGCAGUAAACGGUGCACGCUUGGUGUGCGGGGAAUCGACCCCCUGCGUGCCGGAGCUAACGCGUUAAGCGUGCCGCCUGGGGAGUACGGUCGCAAGAUUAAAACUCAAAGAAAUUGACGGGGACCCGCACAAGCGGUGGAGUAUGUGGCUUAAUUCGAUGCAACGCGAAGAACCUUACCUGGGCUUGACAUGUAAUGAACAACAUGUGAAAGCGUGCGACUCUUCGGAGGCGUUACACAGGUGCUGCAUGGCCGUCGUCAGCUCGUGUCGUGAGAUGUUUGGUUAAGUCCAGCAACGAGCGCAACCCCUGUUGCCAGUUACCAGCACGUGAAGGUGGGGACUCUGGCGAGACUGCCCAGAUCAACUGGGAGGAAGGUGGGGACGACGUCAGGUCAGUAUGGCCCUUAUGCCCAGGGCUGCACACGUACUACAAUGCCCAGUACAGAGGGGGCCGAAGCCGCGAGGCGGAGGAAAUCCUAAAAACUGGGCCCAGUUCGGACUGUAGGCUGCAACCCGCCUACACGAAGCCGGAAUCGCUAGUAAUGGCGCAUCAGCUACGGCGCCGUGAAUACGUUCCCGGGUCUUGCACUCACCGCCCGUCA